ensembl:lncRNA
GACAGCCACUUUUUAAAUGUUUAUAUUUCAACAACGAAUUGAAGUAGAAACGUCAUUGUAUAAUUAAAAUGUUGAUGGGAGCAAGUCACUCAACACAGGUCUUAUAUCUGGCCGUGGAGUUUGUUUUAUGCCUACCUGAUACAUCUACAUCCAUAGAACGCGUGUUCUCGUUAAUGAAUGCAUCAUGGACAGCAGAAAAAUCUCCGCCAAUAGCAAUGAAGUCAAUGCUUUUCAUUUUCCAUUCCAUUUCUUAUAUACAGUAGUGGCAAAAAGUGAUGUCCGGAGAGGAUAUUUCUCGAUAUUUGCUUUAAUGUUUUAUUUGGUUUAAUAUUUUGUUGGUUCUCCCUUAUUUUUGAUCUUAGCAAUAAUACAAUAUUUAAAUAAAGGGCAAAAAUAUAAAUUAUCCUAGGCUGGACAUCACUUUUGGCCACUACUGUAUCUGCCCAUCCCGCAUCUACCCUAGAUAAGACAGACAUUCAAAUAUGACAAUUGUGUACUGUUUGGGGUACUCCGAAAACAGGGUUGGAAAAAAACUGUUAGGCUACCUUAGUCAUGUUUCUUUUCUUUUCUUUUUUUUUUGUGCCAAAUUCCAUUUUUCACAUGCCAUUUUUCCUGGAGUCCUGGAGCAGUGCAUCUCAGAGCUGUCCUAGGAACCAUUACCACUGCACUCACCCUCAUCUGAUCAACUCAACAGCUCAUUAGCAGAGACUGCAUAACUUGAAUUGGGUGUCUCUGAUGAGAAAGCCACACAAAAAUGUGCAGUAGUGGGAGUCCUCCAUGACAGGUUUUUUAGAAGUGCUAGGUCUCAUAGUUGGGGUGCUCCAAAGAUGCGUGCCCAAAGGCCUCGACAGACCAUGACCUGUAAGUACUACUAAUAAAAAUGUAAAAACAUCUUUGCUGUAGUGUACUGGUGGCAAAUCCCUGCCUGGUAGAACAAUGUGUCUGACUGAUUUAAGAUGUUCGUAUUACAGGGGAUAAAAUUGGUUUCUACGCUGAUGUUUUACCAUCAAAAUUGUGGUGGGGCAAAACUGAUGGGGCAUCUGAUUUUCUCAGUGCUAUGCGUUUGGUUUAUGUGUUUCCAGAUGCACUUCAUGAUUCCCUUUAGCUGGAGCUCCACGCAGAUGCUUAUAGGCCAGCUGUCAACUGAUGAAAGAUCUUCCUUCCAAUCCACUUGUUAUUGUGCUGUCCAGGUGACAAGUAUACCUAUAGAGUAGCAGUGAGAUCAGAUGGAGACUUUCCUGCUUCUCAGAUGUUUCUCCACCAAUCCUGGAGCAGUGUUUCCCAAUCAAGUUCCUGGAGUCCCCCAACACUGCAUAUUUGGCAUGUUUCCUUUAUCAAACACCUGAUUCAGGAUUGAUGGAAGCUGAGUUUCUGGAGAGAUCUUAAGAAUCUCUCAAACUGUUCACUGAGAUUUCAAUAUUAAACACUGGGUGAAGGUCUCAAGUACCGCGGAGAUGUUUGGUGGUCUGCGCUGACUCACUCAUGUCAUCUGACCUGUGCCAUAUCUGUGUGUCUGGACUGCUGAGGUCUGCAAGACACUGACAUGAUACUGGACUUCAUUCACCCCAAAGGAAAGCUUAUUUACACUGUCUGAAAUGUUCAGACUCUCCUCUGAUCUCAGUCACCUACUCAGAUCUUGACCUGGACUCGAAAGAGCCGUCCUCAACCACAGAAUACAUAUCUCAAUACUGCACGUCAGCUAAUGUCUUUCAAAAUGUAUUUUAACUUUUAUGGAUUGGCUCCACUGUAAGUGUUUCAUAUAUAUAUAUAUAUAUAUAUAUAUAUAUAUAUAUAUAUAUAUAUAUAUAUAUAUAUAUAUGAAAUAUUAAUCUACAACUGUAAAAUAUUUAGGAAGCUUUAAACUAUAAAAACAAUCAUGACGUUUUUUAAAAAGGUCAAAUAAACAGAGAACUAAAAAUAAAUUGACUGAGCACUCAAGGUGAUGGGCUGGUACUAUUGAUUUUACCUGUCUCUGAUGGACAGCUCUGACAAAAUACACAGACGUCCUGUCUUGUCCUGGCCUCCGUGUCAAAUCAACAGAUCAGAGCAUUCUUGACUGACAAAGACAUAAACAGUCCUGUCUGGGGAAGAAGAAAGAGCAGCCGUCAAGGCUCCUGUCAUAUUUUACAUCACUCUGCCAUCGCCGCACUAAAAUUGUGGCGGAGGAGAGUGUAAAGUGCCGUAAAAUGGGAAGAAAUCUUAAACUAUUUUCUGCUCAGGAGCACCAAAUGCUACACACCCCUCACCCCCCGGCCCACUCUCCUCUGCCUCCCCCGGCCUCAACAAGACAAAUGGGCACGAGUGGAUGACAGAGAGCCUGGCCCACAAAUCACCCUGUACUGGCCCGUCCAGUGCUCCCCCCUGCCGGCCCGCUCCAUUACUCAUCAGCAUGCAGGGAGCAGCAGCCCGCUGCCGUAAUUAGACAAGGACAAAUAGCCAGCCGCGGACACCAUGGGUCCGUCCACUAAAAACAGGGCCCUUCUCCAUGCAGGCCGCUGUAUAGAGGGCAUCAGGGACGGGGACGCCGACCGUCCGUGACUGGUUUAAUGUCUGGUUCUUGCCCUGAACAUGGCCUGCUGCAUGUCGGGACGACCCUGGCAUGACCUGAGAUUUGAGGGCCAGACUCGACAGAACAAGGUUUGCAUUGUACAUCUGCCGCGACCAGCUUUGUUAAUGUCAGCUUUGUUAAUGUAUAUUCAAAAUAUAGAAAAGUAUUAAUAUAAGUUUAGAUGCCCCUCAUAUGUCUUAACCAUAGUCAUGAAAUCUCAACACAUUUACCAAACAAAAGUUUCACCUAAUCAUCAACAUUUGCAAGAUUAAUACAAGAUUUAUUCCAUCAUGUGAUUUUAUUUUAUUUGAACAUCUUGAUGUCUGUUUGUCCAGUUGCAGAGCCAGUCAUUUGUUUAGAUUUGUCAAGUAACAAAUAUUGUUUCAUUUUAAACUGAAAAAUUGUAGCCUCAGAAUUGGGAUAGAGAGCCUCCAGUGGCAUGUUGUUGCUAGUGCUUUUAUAAAAUUUAAUAGUUAUGAUAACUAAUGGCAUCGUUUUUAUAUGAUCAUUCAGUCUGACUUCAGUCUGUUGGUAUCAUGACAUCCCUUCAUUAAACAUUUGGGCUUGUAAUUUUAUGUUACAGAUCAAAUUUAUAAUUUUAUCUUCUGGAAAUGUGUUAUUUGAUUUCAGUUACACGUAUCUGCAUGGUCUAUUUGAUUUAGUGCUAAAGGAAAUGAUUUGUCAUUUCCCCCUCCCCCUGCUUUAUUAAUAAUUGGGGAUUGGAGUAUUUAAGGACUCUGAGAACUCAUCUGAAGACACACUCUCUGUGUUCACAAUUCUCAGGAUUGGCUCUUGAUCAGAAUGUGACAUCUUACUGAUCUCUUUUCUUAUAGACUUGCACCAUGUUCUGAGUUCUGAGAUUUUGUUAUAAAUAUUUUGAUUCGUUAUUCUUGUUUUUUUUUUCCGCUCAUUCUGAUUUUCACUGGAGUUAUGUUUGUUAUUCGUGGUAGCUGUUACAUUUGUUUGUCAAAACAAAAAAGCUGAAUGUAACAUAAAACGGGGGCUCGUCCGGGAUUAGUCCAUAUUUUUCCUCUGUAUUUUUACGAGGGACUUUCCCUAUAUCGUUACUGAAAAAAAAACUAAAUUUCAAAAAAAAAAAAAACACAUGCCUCCUUUUGAUUAUAAAAAAUCCAUAAUGUAACAAAAUUGAUGAUGGUCCUGAAAAGUCACAGAAGCACCAGGUCCCACUGGACUGAUCUGUAAUGUGUCCUUUCAAUACCAUGAGAAGGACCAUUGAAAUAGUGACAAUAAAUAAUGAUGUUCUCUUGUCAAAACAUAUUUGCAUCCUUCAUGAAAACAUUGACUGCAUUUAUGGUGUUCAGCACAAAACAACAUCUUCCAGAUUACAAUGUCUGGUAGAAUAUCACUAGUUCCUCACAGAAAUAUAUGGCUGUACAGUAUGUGUCAGAUCAUUUUAUUGUAAAUUACUUGUGAAAUCCAUGAGUGUUACCUUGUCAGUCCGCAGGAACUACUAGUGAUCUGGACCAUUAUUUUAAAGUGUUACCCAAGCAUUCAACAACAACAACAACUACAACAGAAAAGGUGUAUUAUUUUGGGCCCCUGUCCAUAAAAUAUUGUCCCAGGCCCUGUGUAUUCAAGUAACAGGCCUGCCAUAAACAUCAUAAUUAAAAAAAUAUACAACAUAAAUUUAAAUUUUUAUUCCAAGUCAUAAUUAAGAGGGGUAAAAGUCAAAAUUGUGAGACUUCUUAUCUCAUAAUUGUAAUUUUCAAUAACUAUUCCAACUUUUUGUGUCAUAACUGUAUUUUGUUAUCAUUUAAUUUUAUCUCACAGUUAUAACUUUUAGUCUCAUGAUUCAAAAAGGGUGUUCAUUCAACAUUCACCAGUGUUCAUCUUUUCACGUCAGUUUUGACCUCAUAGUUAUGGCCUUUUUUACUUAUAAUUGUGAAUUAUGACAUAUUAUUUAUAGUCAUAAUUCUAACUUUUUGUCA